GACGAACCGUGCAAACGUUGUUCGGAAUCACUGGGCUUAAAGGGCGCGUAGGCGGGCUAUCAAGUCAGUGGUGAAAUCUUUCAGCUCAACUGGAAAAGUGCCGCUGAUACUGGUAGUCUCGAGGGAGGUAGGGGUCGAUGGAACUAAUGGUGGAGCGGUGAAAUGCGUAGAUAUCAUUAGGAACGCCGGUGGCGAAAGCGAUCGACUGGACCUCUUCUGACGCUGAGGCGCGAAAGCUAGGGGAGCAAACGGG
rnacentral:rRNA from 1 species